CGGUAAAUUGAAUGAUGAGUGGGA
rnacentral:ncRNA from 4 species